CCUAUGCCGCACGAGUCAGGUGCCCUGAGCGGCUUGAUAGGGAAUCCCGUGUGAAUCGGGAGCGGACCCGCCGCCGUAAGCCCAUAAAAGACCUUCUCCCCCGUGUGCCACUGGACGACCGUCCGGGAAGGCCGGAGCAGGUCGGGUGAGCCGGAAGACCUGCCUGACACGUCCGAUGCCA
rnacentral:ncRNA from 2 species